rnacentral:rRNA from 1 species
CCUACGGGAGGCAGCAGUGGGGAAUAUUGGACAAUGGGGGCAACCCUGAUCCAGCCAUGCCGCGUGUGUGAAGAAGGCCCUCGGGUUGUAAAGCACUUUCAGUGAGGAAGAACGCCUGGUGGUUAAUACCCAUCAGGAAAGACAUCACUCACAGAAGAAGCACCGGCUAACUCCGUGCCAGCAGCCGCGGUAAUACGGAGGGUGCGAGCGUUAAUCGGAAUUACUGGGCGUAAAGCGCGCGUAGGUGGCUUGAUAAGCCGGUUGUGAAAGCCCCGGGCUCAACCUGGGAACGGCAUCCGGAACUGUCAAGCUAGAGUGCAGGAGAGGAAGGUAGAAUUCCCGGGGUAGCGGUGAAAUGCGUAGAGAUCGGGAGGAAUACCAGUGGCGAAGGCGGCCUUCUGGACUGACACUGACACUGAGGUGCGAAAGCGUGGGUAGCAAACAGGAUAGAUACCCUAGUAGUC